rnacentral:rRNA from 1 species
UACGAAGGGGGCUAGCGUUGUUCGGAAUUACUGGGCGUAAAGCGUGCGCAGGCGGUUUUGUAAGCCAGAUGUGAAAUCCCCGGGCUCAACCUGGGAAUGGCAUUUGGGACUGCAAGGCUUGAGUGCGGCAGAGGAGACUGGAAUUCCUGGUGUAGCAGUGAAAUGCGUAGAUAUCAGGAGGAAUACCGAUGGCGAAGGCAGGUCUCUGGGCUGACACUGACGCUCAUGCACGAAAGCGUGGGGAGCAAACAGG